ACGGCCAUACCAUGCUGAAUAUACCGGUUCUCGUUAGAUCACCGAAGUCAAGCAUCAUUGGGCGCGGUCAGUAUUUGGGUGGGUGACCACCUGGGAACACUGCGUGCCGUU
rnacentral:rRNA from 1 species